GCGUACUGUGGCCUUUAUCGUCAUGCUGCGGCGUUUGAGUAGACGGAAACCAUGCUUCUAAAAAUGUGUCUAGGCGGGAAUGAUUUAUCUGCUGCAUGGGAUCCGCAGCAGUUGCAAGGUAUCUGAUGCCAACAGUUGACAGCCAAUGGGAUUUCAAGUGUGGAUUUGAAGUCAUUGUAGGAAGAAAAUGUCUCGCGCAUCCUUCCACAGAUAUUCUGCAAGUGGGGAUUUGAAGUCACUAUAGGAGCAUCCUCCUACAGCUUUCAAAAAUGGACAUUCUCUUCAAAGAUUUCAAGUGAGGAUUUGAAGUCACUAGGAAGAUGUUUUGAGCAUCCAUCUACAGGUUAACAGAUGGAGAGGUUAACCCAAUGAUGCCUGGAUGCCUGUCUCGUAUGCAUGGGUGAAUAAUAAGGCUUGUGACUGAAGUUGAAGCCAUGGCUGAGGAGGUGUGGUGAUCAAAAUGCUGCAAUGUUAAUCUACUGUAUAACAUUGUGUACUGUUUUAGUCCAACCAUUUAAUUUUAAGAACAAAGUCUGAACAUUGAGAUUUAACGUUAUGAAAAGUUAUAUUUUUUGAUCUUGUCAUGUAUAAAUAUUUUUUGUUAA